CUGAAUUAUUCACCCUUGUCUUUUGCGUACUUCUUGUUUCCUUGGUGGGUUCGCCCACCACUAGGACAAACAUAAACCUUUUGUAAUUGCAAUCAGCGUCAGUAACAAAUUAAUAAUUACAACUUUCAACAACGGAUCUCUUGGUUCUGGCAUCGAUGAAGAACGCAGCGAAAUGCGAUAAGUAGUGUGAAUUGCAGAAUUCAGUGAAUCAUCGAAUCUUUGAACGCACAUUGCGCCCUUUGGUAUUCCAAAGGGCAUGCCUGUUCGAGCGUCAUUUGUACCCUCAAGCUUUGCUUGGUGUUGGGCGUCUUGUCUCUAGCUUUGCUGGAGACUCGCCUUAAAGUAAUUGGCAGCCGGCCUACUGGUUUCGGAGCGCAGCACAAGUCGCACUCUCUAUCAGCAAAGGUCUAGCAUCCAUUAAGCCUUUUUUUCAACUUUUGACCUCGGAUCAGGUAGGGAUACCCGCUGAACUUAAGCU
rnacentral:rRNA from 1 species